rnacentral:rRNA from 1 species
UCUGUUGGAGUUAUAGGAAGUCUGACUGCCCACUGAUUAGAAAUAUUUAAGGGCCGCGGUAUUAUGACCGUGCAAAGGUAGCAUAAUCAUUAGGUUUUUAAAUGGAAUCUCGUCUGAAUGGUUGGACAAAGGAAGAACUGUCUAAUUUUUAGAAAUUGAACUUUACUUUUAAGUGAGAAGGCUUAAAUGGUUUAGAGGGACGAUAAGACCCUAUAAAGCUUUACAUUUAAUUAUAUUUAAUUAAAUUUNNAGAUAAAAGUUUAAUAUAAUAAUUUGUUUUAUUGGGGAGAUAAAGGUAUAAAUUAUUUUAACUGCUUGAUAAAUAAACAUUUAUAAAUGAAAAGUUAUAGAUCCUAUAAAUUUGUAGAAUGAAAGAUUAAGUUACUUUAGGGAUAACAGUGUUAUUUUUUUUGAGAGUUCAUAUCGAAAAAAAAGUUUGCAACCUCGAUGUUGGAUUAAGAUAUCUAUAUAAUGUAGCUGUUAUUUAAGAAGGUCUGUUCGACCUUUAAAU